GACCUCAAAUCAGGUAGGACUACCCGCUGAACUUAAGCAUAUCAAUAAGCGGAGGAAAAGAAACUAACAAGGAUUCCCCUAGUAACUGCGAGUGAAGCGGGAAAAGCUCAAAUUUAAAAUCUGGCAGUUUCUUUUAGCUGUCCGAGUUGUAAUCUAGAGAAGUGUUAUCCGCGCUGGACCGUGUACAAGUCUCCUGGAAUGGAGCAUCAUAGAGGGUGAGAAUCCCGUCUUUGACAUGGACUACCAGGGCUUUGUGAUGCGCUCUCAAAGAGUCGAGUUGUUUGGGAAUGCAGCUCAAAAUGGGUGGUAAAUUCCAUCUAAAGCUAAAUAUUGGCGAGAGACCGAUAGCGAACAAGUACCGUGAGGGAAAGAUGAAAAGAACUUUGGAAAGAGAGUUAAACAGUACGUGAAAUUGCUGAAAGGGAAACGCUUGAAGUCAGUCGCGUUGUCCAGGGAUCAACCUUGCUUUUGCUUGGUGCACUUUCUGGUUCAAUGGGUCAGCAUCAAUUUUGACCGUUGGAAAAAGGUCAGGGGAAUGUGGCAUCUUUGGAUGUGUUAUAGCCCUUGGUCACAUACAAUGGUUGGGAUUGAGGAACUCAGCACGCCGCAAGGCCGGGU
rnacentral:rRNA from 1 species